rnacentral:tRNA from 1 species
GAGGUUGUAGCUCAGUGGUAGAGCAUGUGCUUAGCAUGCAUAAGGUCGUGAGUUCAAUCCCCAGUACUCUUA